UACGAAGGGGGCUAGCGUUGUUCGGAAUUACUGGGCGUAAAGCGCGCGCAGGCGGUCUUCCAAGUCAGUGGUGAAAGCCCGGAGCUCAACUCCGGAACUGCCAUUGAAACUGUGAGACUUGAGGAUGAGAGAGGUGAGUGGAAUUCCCAGUGUAGAGGUGAAAUUCGUAGAUAUUCGCAAGAACACCAGUGGCGAAGGCGGCUCACUGGCCCGGUACUGACGCUGAGGUGCGAAAGCGUGGGGAGCAAACAGG
rnacentral:rRNA from 1 species